UAAAGGCAUGGUCCUGACCUUAUUAUUAGCUCUAACCCAACUUACACAUGCAAGUCUCCGCAAUCCCGUGAGUAUGCCCUUAAUCCCCUGCCCGGGGACGAGGAGCGGGCAUCAGGCACAAAUUUUUAGCCCAAGACGCCUGGCCGAGCCACACCCCCAAGGGAAUUCAGCAGUGAUAAAUAUUAAGCCAUAAGGAAA
rnacentral:rRNA from 1 species